rnacentral:rRNA from 1 species
GCUUAGGAGUAAACCAAGGCAGCACCCACAUACCGCUGCCCGCCAGAGCACUACAAGUGAUAAACUUAAAACUCAAAGGACUUGACGGCACUCCACACCACACUAGAGGAGCCUGUCCUAUAAUCGAUAACCCACGUUUCACCUCACCCGUUCUUGCAUCAAACCAGCCUAUAUACCGCCGUCGCCAGCUCGCCUUUCAAAAGAACCAACAGCGGGCCAACCAGUCCACACUAAAACGUCAGGUCAAGGUGUAGCUAACGAACAGGUAAGAGAUGGGCUACAUUUUCUACCCAUAGAAAACCUACCGCACACACCAUGAAACAAGUGUCCAAAGGAGGAUUUAGCAGUAAGCCACGCAAGAUUAAAGCCUGACUGAACACCGCCCUGGAGUGCGUACAC